rnacentral:rRNA from 1 species
UCCUACGGGAGGCAGCAGUAGGGAAUAUUGCUCAAUGGGGGAAACCCUGAAGCAGCAACGCCGCGUGGAGGAUGAAGGUUUUCGGAUUGUAAACUCCUUUUGUUAGAGAAGAUAAUGACGGUAUCUAACGAAUAAGCACCGGCUAACUCCGUGCCAGCAGCCGCGGUAAUACGGAGGGUGCAAGCGUUACUCGGAAUCACUGGGCGUAAAGAGCGCGUAGGCGGGAUAGCAAGUCAGCGGUAAAAAUUCGGGGCUCAACCCCAUCCGGCCG